UACAGAGGUCGCAAGCGUUUUUCGGAUUUACUGGGCGUACAGGGUGCGUAGGCGGUUGGGUAAGCCCUCUGUGAAAUCUCCAGGCCUAACCCGGAAAGUGCAGUGGAGACUACUCAGCUGGAGGAUUGGAGAGGAGCGCGGAAUUCCCGGUGUAGCGGUGAAAUGCGUAGAGAUCGGGAGGAAGGCCAGUGGCGAAGGCAAGGCUCUGGACCAUUCCUGACGCUGAGGCUCGAAAGCCUGGGGAGCAAACAGG
rnacentral:rRNA from 1 species